AUUCCAUGAUGCGGGCACUCUGAUAUGUAUCCUUGAAAAUGCUCUCAUGCUUCUGGAAUAGUUUCACCUUUCUGCUGAUGAAAUUCCAAAAUCUUCCCUCGUAAGAUA
rnacentral:snoRNA from 1 species